rnacentral:rRNA from 1 species
UACGUAGGGUGCAAGCGUUGUCCGGAAUUAUUGGGCGUAAAGCGUGCGCAGGCGGCUCUGCAAGACAGAUGUGAAAUCCCCGGGCUCAACCUGGGAACUGCAUUUGUGACUGCAUGGCUAGAGUACGGUAGAGGGGGAUGGAAUUCCGCGUGUAGCAGUGAAAUGCGUAGAUAUGCGGAGGAACACCGAUGGCGAAGGCAAUCCCCUGGACCUGUACUGACGCUCAUGCACGAAAGCGUGGGGAGCAAACAGG